GAUGAACGCUGGCGGCGUGCCUAAUACAUGCAAGUCGAGCGAACAGACGAGGAGCUUGCUCCUCUGACGUUAGCGGCGGACGGGUGAGUAACACGUGGAUAACCUACCUAUAAGACUGGGAUAACUUCGGGAAACCGGAGCUAAUACCGGAUAAUAUAUUGAACCGCAUGGUUCAAUAGUGAAAGACGGUUUUGCUGUCACUUAUAGAUGGAUCCGCGCCGCAUUAGCUAGUUGGUAAGGUAACGGCUUACCAAGGCAACGAUGCGUAGCCGACCUGAGAGGGGGAUCGGCCACACUGGAACUGAGACACGGACCAGACGCCUACGGGAGGCAGCAGUAGGGAAUCUUCCGCAAUGGGCGAAAGCCUGACGGAGCAACGCCGCGUGAGUGAUGAAGGUCUUCGGAUCGUAAAACUCUGUUAUUAGGGAAGAACAAAUGUGUAAGUAACUAUGCACGUCGUGACGGUACCUAAUCAGAAAGCCCCGGCUAACUACGUG
rnacentral:rRNA from 1 species